rnacentral:rRNA from 1 species
GGGAACCUCACCCGGCCCGGACACCGCGAGGAUUGACAGACUGAGAGCUCUUUCUCGAUUCGGUGGGUGGUGGUGCAUGGCCGUUCUUAGUUGGUGGAGCGAUCUGUCUGGUUAAUUCCGAUAACGAACGAGACCCCAACCUGCUAACUAGCCUCGGGUCCUGCUUCUGUUGGGCCCGACGGAAUGAUUCGCUUCUUAGAGGGACUCGCGGCGCCUAGCCGCACGAAGGGGGGCGAUAA